UCUUCCCCAUUUCCACAAGUCUGACAUCAACGCGUCUUUGAUUCUUUAUUAAUUUCCAAACUCUGAAAGGGAGUGAGACAGAGAGAGCUGGCUGCACGAAGUUCAUGGAUAUGGGGAGGUGGGGAAGGAAAUUACCAGGCGUUUUCGGUACACCUUCUUUCUUUCCCGAACCACCCAUUCCGCAAAUUUCCUGUGGUUCCUCUCCCUUUCCUCUCUACUCUCUACUCUCAUAUGAAAAACUGCAAUAUCUUUGUUCCUUUCUCUAUGUAUAUAUAGAGGGUGAUUGUUGAGAGAGGUGAAGGAGGAAGAGCGAAGGGGAAAGUGAGUUAUGGAAUUUCUUCGGAAUGGGAUGGCAGGAAAGAAAAUAAAUCUGUUCGUCAGAAACAUAUUUUUUCUUUCCUAGUCCUCCCAUUCCAUUGGUUUCCUGCUAUUCCUCCCUUUCGCUUACUUUUCCUGCUUGGGUUGAUUGGUUCAGUCUAUUUCGAUUCGGGGUAUAUCAAGAAUGUUCUCGUCAUUUAGGAUUUGGUUUAAGUUGGAAACCAAGAUCUUAAAAUCAAAAGGAGAGGAAAUCCAGAGUGGAAAAUGAUCUAUAUGUAAUAUUUUGUACAACAUAUUACAUAAUAAUAUUUUAAAUGAUGGAUAUUUUUGUAAAAUAUCUUAUAAAAGUAAUAUAAUUUUAUAAAAAUAUUUUUAUUUUAUAAUAUUAUUAUGUAAUGUGUUGUAUAAUGUCUUUUGUGUAUAUCAUUAAUGGAUUUUUUUUUUUAACUUUUUGUAUGUGAGGACCACAAUAAUUGAUAGAGAUUGGCUGGUUGUAAAUGUUAAGAAUAUAAUAUAAAUAAUAAAAUUUAACUUUUCAUCAGUUUUAGAAAUAAAUAAUAAAUAAAUAGCAUUAGAAUAGAAGUUUUGAAUUUGAACUUUAACUAUACAUUUGUCUAUUUAAUUAAAUAUUUUACGAGUUGAACCUGCUCAUUGAAAAAGAGAUUGGCCCAUAUGUGAGAGAGUGCGUUAAGAAUAUGAUAUAAAUAAUAAAAUUUAUAUUUUUUAAUUAGUUAAAGUUUUUGAAAUAAGUAGUGAUUUUAUAAUAAAUAUUUUUAAUAUUAUUAUAUAUGUAAAGGAUGUAAUUGAAGUGAUAAAUCAAGGCUAAUUUGUAUAGUUUAUUUAGGCACUCAUGGCAUAAGGAAGGAAGACCAUAUGUUAGGCCUUGAGAACAUAAAAAACUUUGAAGGUGAUUCUCAUCCUCACAAGCAUCCAAUUUCACGACAACGAGAGCGAGAGUGGAGUGGACAACCAUGACGUACGGCAUGCAGGAUCGAUGGGAACUAGAUAAUGAUAUUUAAUAUAAUUAUAUAUUUUAAGAUUUAGUUUAUAAUUAACUAAUGUAAUAGAAAUUAUAUAUAUUCAAAUUAUUUGCAUAACCGUCAUUCAUUAAAAAAAAAAAAAACACUUAUAAAAAAAUAUUCAAUUGGCCUGCAAUUCAUCCCUAUUUGAGAAUUCUACAAUAUUCCACUUGGCGCGAGUCCUAUUUAAUAUAAUAUAUUGAAAAUUGAGAAAUGCAUGUCCUAAUUAAUUACAAUGUUACCAGAUUGUAAAAGCACUCGAAUAUUAAAAAGUGUUAGAUGAUAAAAGGAUAAAUAAGUUACAUGUCGUUUAUGUUUAUGUUUAUGUUUAUGUUUAUAUUUUUAUUCUUUAUUCUUUAUUAUACACAGCUGUAAAUACAUGUUCCCUUUUUACUUUCUGUAAGUUUGUUAAUAUUUGCUUUACUUUCUGUUAGUUUGUUAGAGCUCCACUGGGUAUAUAGGCUACGGCUUCUAUCUUGUUGAAUGUAAGAAUACAAUAUUAAAUAUACAGAGGAAUUUCUUUCCAGAACCUCCAAACGCUCUCUGUUUUUCUUCUUGUUACCAAUCACUCACAUGGUAUCUAAGAGCCAUUGAGAGCAAAAUGGAGUUCUCCAAAUCAAAUACUCCACCCGAUUCACCAACCCACUCAAAUCCCCUUACAAACCCUCCCUCUUGAUAUCUCAAUCUUGCAGAUCCUACAAAUCCUUACCGUUUAGAUCAUGGCGAUAGUCCUUCAAUCACCCUUGUUGCCGAUCUACUCACUACCGAAAAUUACACAACCUGGUCCCGUUCGAUGAAACGUGCCUUACGCGCUAAGAAUAAGCUAGGUUUCAUCGACGGCACCUUAACCAAACCCAAUUUUCCCGCUGGUCCUUUAAUCGACCUCUGGAAUCGGUGCAACGACAUGGUAGUGUCAUGGAUUCAAAACUCCAUCACUACCUCUCUCAAAUCCAGUGUUGCCUUUGUCGACGAUGCCUACGAAAUUUGGAUGGAUCUUCAUGAGCGGUUGUCUCACCAAAAUGGGCCCCGAAUCUUCCAAUUGAAGAAAGCUUUGGCUUCUCUUUCCUAAGAAAAUGACUCGGACCUACAUUCUUGGACAACGAUUGGGAAGGGUGACCUGCUGCAUGGACUCUACCAUUUUCAUUGUUCUGCCGUGCCAUCUACUGCCCUCACCAAUUACUUUUCCACUUAUAAACACAAACCACACACAAAUCCCACUUUUUCUGCUUCUGUUACACAAAAUAUCACACCAUACAACCUAUGGCAUUGUCGCCUAGGUCACUUAUCCAAAAAUAGGCUUCAAUUAAUUCAUGAUCUUCCUGUAAACACUCACAGAUCUCUUACUAAUGAAAUACCUUGCACUUUGUGUCCUUUGGCAAAAUUUAACAAAUUACCUUUUCCUGAUAGUGUUCAUG